rnacentral:lncRNA from 1 species
GCGGACGCAGCCGGCCCUUCUCAGGUGCAUUUUAGUGGUUACCAGGUUGCCACGUAUUUGAAGUGGUGUGAGAGCUACUCGUUUGGAACCGUUGUGGAUUUUCAAAUAGGAAAAUCAAAAGGCCCAAAGAGACAGCUCACUGGAAAUGACCUCAUUCUUGAUGGCUGCUGCUAACUUAUGGUGAGAUGCUGGGUCCCUGCCCAAUACCACAUGGACAUCCAAUCAAUUUACCCAGGGACAAGUCCACUCAAGAGCAUCAUUUAGAAGAGGGAAAAGGCACUGGGGUUAUUUGUUUUUGGAGUAUGUGCUUAAGGAAAUCUAGAGUAUUCCCACGAGCAUUCUGCUGAGAUGAACAAUCAGAUGACCUCGUGUGAGAUUUGGAGGAGAGAAGGAAAUGGAGAGCAUGCGUCUGCCGCUUCUGUGGUUUCUGUCGGCUUUCUCCAUAUUUACGUGCUUGUAACUCUGGCAUGACCUUUGCUCCAGUCUCUACCAGAGGGCGGUGCCUGGAUUGAAGUGGAAAAGCCCUGUUUUCCAGCCAUGACCCAGGGAGCAAGCACUGACUCCUCAGGGGAACAGGAGACCUGCCAACUAGGACCCUGGGAGCCCCCAUGCUGGCAGUGCCCUGGGUCAUCUCAGGCUCAUCAGCAAAUCCUGGGGGGAGAGCGGGGCUGGAGGGCGAAGAAGCCCAGGAGAGUUCCUGGCUCAGAACCCCUCUCUGAGGCUCCCAAUACAGAGCCCAGGCCCCACACCCAGGGCCUCUGAGUAUUUUUGUUUAUUGUAUGUAAAAUACUAGUGUAUUUUUGUUUAAGUCUCACAGGUAAACAGGUUCUCUCAUACUUUGCCAAGGGAAAUGUGAUCUGUGCAAUUUGGCAAUAACUAUCAGAAUUUUAAAAGCUUAUGCCCUUUGACCUAGUAAUUUCACUUCUAAGAAUUUCCCCUGCAGAGAUAUGUAUAUCUUGUAUGAAAUGAAGAGGCUACGAAGACAGGCAACGCCGCAGUGUUUAUAAUAGCGAAGACCAGACACAACCCACAUGUCUAAAGGUUCUGAUUUUUAAAACUGUAGUAUAUCUGUACAAUGAGCACUCCACAUCCUUUAAGAAUGAGGAAGGGCUGUGUGAACUGAAAUGGAACUAUCUCUAAGAUUUAUUAAGUUAAAAAAAUUCAAGAGUAGCACAGUGUGUAGGGUAUGCCAUCAUUUGUAUGAUAUAAGGUCGUAUAUCUGCCAUCUCAAAUGAGGAACAGUGGUUGCCUCUGGGAAGGGAAUUGGAUGGCUAGGAAUGGGGUAGGAAAGAGGUUUGCUUUUCAGAACAUUUUAUACUAUUUAAGUUUUGUAACAAGUGCAUCUAUUUUGACUUAAAAGAUAAAAAAUGAAAAGGAAAGGCUCCACUAGUGAUUCUGAUGCUCACAAAGAUUAAGAACCAAUGCGAAUGAGGAACUCAUGACACCGCCCAGGAGACAGUGAACAUAUCUCUUCAAAUAUCAAAAACCUUUCAGCAGAGGGUGAGAACAUGUGCCUGGGGUAAGCAUGGGUGGGCAUGAGCUGGGUACAGAGGUGAUUCCCAGGGACAUACAACUACCUUGCCCUCCUGGGAUCAGGUCUUCCUCCCACCUUAGCCUCCCAUAUUGUUGGGACCACAGGCAUGCACCACCACACCUGGUUAAUUUUUUUUUUUUUUUUUUUUUUGUAGCGACAGAGUCUCGCCAUGUUGCCUAGGCUGGUCUCGAACUCCUGGGCUCAGGCAAUCCUUCUGCCUCGUCCUUCCAAAGUGCUGAGAUUACAGGCAUGAGCCACUGCACCCAGCCUGACAGUAGCUUUUAAUCUCUGGACUCUCAUCACCGUUUGGACUGUGAGCUGUGGUUCUAGCUCUUGGAUCUGAUGGGCAUCUUCCCUCAAAUAUGUCAGUUUCUCUCUCCAGGUCCCUUGCUUUGUCUUCCUUUUUGCCUCCUCGGGCCUGAUACCUUUCUCUGGGCUUCUCUACUCUGCCCCGAGCUGCCUAGUUUUGCGAAUAAUGUCACAUCCAGAUGUCAGCAGCCCUGAUGUCCAUGUGACAAUGCUCCCUUGCUGUCCAUGUGACAAUGCUCCCUUGGUGUCCCAGUGACAGAUUUUCCCAUGCUUCACCCUCUCUCUUUUUUAAUUUUUUUUUCUGUACACAGCUCUCAGUCAAGCCCCUUGAGCUGCCUCCAACUGUUUGCUCAUGUCUGUUCCCAGCAAUCUUUUCCUCUUUUAGCACAAUCUUCCUUAACUUACUAGUUUUUUGAAACAGAGCCUAUUAGUCUUCACAGCGCUACCUUUCUGAUCUCAGAGUUCACCAAAAAGCUUUUCCUCCCAUCAUGCCUGCCUCCCUUUCUUCAGGUCCGUUAGAGUCCACCGUGGCCUGUGUGGGAAGCAAGUCUCUCCCAGGGCACACAUGAACAGACUUCAUGCCCACAUCCACAGUGAACAGUGGCUUCUGCCUUCCAGAUGGGCUUACCCUAAAUCAACACAUAUUCCUAGGAUGUGGGAACAUAUGCAAUACUUAAAUGCACAGGCUCUGGGUUCAGACUCCCUAGGGUUAAAUUCUCCCUGUGCCGGCUAGCUGCAUGAUUAGAUUUGUGAUCUUGACAAAGUUACCUAACGUCUCUGGGCCUCACUUUUCUCAUCUGCAAAAUAGGGAAAAUAGCAACACUUCUCCAUAGGGGUGUGGUGAGGAUAAAGAGUAGAUGUAAAUAAAGUGUUGAAUGUAGAGCCUGGCACAUAUCAAGCUCUUAAAAAGCAAUGGCCAUUUUGUUAUUUUUACCGCAACGACAACUGCAGUUAUUAUCUGGCUUCAGAGCUCUCUUUUUAAAAACAGUAUUCCCUGGUUUUACACCCAGGUGCUAAUACUAUUCUAUGAAGCUAAUGUAUAGAGACCAUAUCUUUUUAACAAACGUGUAUAUAUGAGUCAUUUCCGGCACAUUUGAUACACAUCAUCUCGUUUGGUCCUUAAAACAAGCCUAGGCCAUAAGCAGGGUACGUGUUACCACUUUGCCAUUCCUGUUUUACAGAGGCUUAGACACAUUGAGAAGCUUUUCCAUAGUCACUUAACAAGUGAUGGGUGAAGCCAAAUCAAGCCUUUAGAUCUCCAAGCUCUUUCCAUUAAACCAUAUAAAUCACGGGUUGGCAAACUUUUUCUGCAAAGGGGACAGAUAGUAAAUAGUUUAAGCCUUAUGGGCCACAUGCUGUGUCUGUUUCAUAUUCUGCUCCUUUUUUAUUUUUAUUUUUUUUAAGAAAAGACACCCUUUAAACAUAUAAAAACCAUUCUGAGCAACAGGCUGGUGCUAAAAACAGGUCAUGGUAACCAUUGGCUCUAGGGUUGUAGUUUACUGUUGAUAUAGAUUGUACACUGAUAAGCCAAAAUACAAACCUAAUGAAACUGACAUACUUAAGGAACUUUACUCUUUGUUAGCAAUCAUUGUUAAUAUUUAUUGAAUGGUGACUACGUGGGAAAUGCUGUUCCAAGUGUGAUAGAUAUAUUAACUUACUUAAUCCUCACACCCACUCUAAUUUCCUAAGUACUAUUGUCAGACUCAUUUUACAGACAGGAAAAGCAAGGCAUAGAGAAGGUAAGUAACUUUUCCGAGGUCACAUGGCUAUUAAGUAGCAGAGCUGUGAUUCAAAUAUAAGCGGUUUGGCACCAGAUCCUGUGCACUUAACCGCUUGCAUCUCGGUUGGGAGCACUGACUGGUUCAGCUAUUGGGAGGGAAGAAAGGGGAUGGGGAAGCCACAUAACCCCUAGGAGAUUCUGUAAUAAAUAUGCUUCAGAGCCAUUCACCUUGAAGCUGAGGAGGCAUGGAAGCAGGCCACCUGUGUUCUGUACAGCAUCACCAGGCUGGAAAUCUGCCAUGGCUUUCCUUCACGCCAUCACAAGAGGAUACAGAUGAGGCUGCAGAGGCAUCUUGAUUUGAGAAAAGCAUUUGACUGGAUCUCAUUAAAUUUUAAUCAUUAACUGAAUUCAAAAUAAAUUGAAAACUGGUUGACAGAGCACCAACAAAGGGUGAUGAUAAAUGGUGAUGCAUCUAGAGGGGAGCUAUCUUCCAGGGGACAACUCUAAGGCAAGGACGGAUGGGAUUUAAUGAAGGUGUUAUGUCCCCAGAAGAAGACAAAUAGCACAGCAAGGAACAGAGGAAGGACAGGAGUGAGCAGCCUGAGUAAUUAAUAAACCAUAUUAACAGCUCCUCCAUAAUCAGGCCUUGGUGAUCACAACUGCUUGGAUUUUUUCUUAAGCUUUCUUUGAGUCAGGAAUAGGUUUGAAGCGUCCUAGAGACACACAGCAUGAAUAUUUCAGGUGGACAUUAAAAAGAAAUCUAUAAAUUUACAGCUGGGAGGAUCCUGAGAUCUACUUCGGAUCAGAAACUUUCAAUUACAAGAUUCCCAAGGCCUUACUUCAUUCCCCAGAGAGUAAUCUUUUUAAUAAAUGUCCAAAAGUCAUGGAUUUAAAAAAAAAUCUUUAAACUCAUUAAUGUCCUUUGUUUCCUGCCCAAAUGCAUGCAAACUUUCAUAACACUGGUUUGCUGAGUGGAAGGUUGGUUUUGAGUGAACUGUUUGGCUCAGAUUCAAACUCCAAUGAACAAAUACUUCCAAGUUUACUUGCUGAAUUUCCCAUACAGAGAAGUUCUUCCACUGGGCUUGCCAGAGGAUUUGAAACAGUGGUGAGCCCUGGAAGGAAGGGAAUAUUUACUGGCCCUUGGACAUAAACCCAGCACAGUAAGACUCACAUCAGGCUGAAGGCAGUGCAGUAUGAACCGACCUGAUUUGAGGAAGUUUGCUCUGGGACUCCUCUGAGCUACUAAAUGAGGAGGAGAAGGACUAAUGGGAACACACUGACUCCAUCACAUUAGAAGUUAUAAUAAACAUUUAGAGAACAACCUCAAACCAGCCCAUGUUUUUUUUUUUUUUCUGUCGUUGUCAUUGUUUUGGUUUUUGUUUUUUU